AUACGUAGGUGGCAAGCGUUGUCCGGAAUUAUUGGGCGUAAAGCGCGCGCAGGUGGUUCCUUAAGUCUGAUGUGAAAGCCCCCGGCUCAACCGGGGAGGGUCAUUGGAAACUGGGGAACUUGAGUGCAGAAGAGGAUAGUGGAAUUCCAAGUGUAGCGGUGAAAUGCGUAGAGAUUUGGAGGAACACCAGUGGCGAAGGCGACUGUCUGGUCUGUAACUGACACUGAGGCGCGAAAGCGUGGGGAGCAAACAGGAUUAGAUACCCUGGUAGUCCACGCCGUAAACGAUGAGUGCUAAGUGUUGGGGGGUUUCCGCCCCUCAGUGCUGCAGCUAACGCAUUAAGCACUCCGCCUGGGGGGUACGGUCGCAAGACUGAAACUCAAAUGAAUUGACGGGG
rnacentral:rRNA from 1 species